CCAAUAGGGCUGCUAGAGCAGGCUACUUUGAUAUAGUAGAUUGUGAAAUAUUAUUUCCGUUGGU
rnacentral:tRNA from 1 species